UACAGAGGUCCCAAGCGUUGUUCGGAUUCAUUGGGCGUAAAGGGUGCGUAGGCGGCGCGGUAAGUCGGGUGUGAAAUCUCGGGGCUUAACUCCGAAACUGCAUUCGAUACUGCCGUGCUUGAGGACUGGAGAGGAGACUGGAAUUUACGGUGUAGCGGUGAAAUGCGUAGAUAUCGGGAGGAACACCAGUGGCGAAGGCGGCGAUCUGGGAAGAUACUGACGCUGAGGUGCGAAAGCGUGGGGAGCAAACAGG
rnacentral:rRNA from 1 species